GCUCCAGUGGCGCAAUCGGUCAGCGCAUGGUACUUAUAAUGCCGAGGUUGUGAGUUCGAACCUCACCUGGAGCA
rnacentral:tRNA from 1 species